CUUCAGUGGUCGUACAGGAGAGACGUGUUGAUCCUCCUGCCGCCCCGCCGGCUUUACCGCUUCCUCAUCCUUUUAAUACGCUUAAAAAACGUGUGGUAACUGUGGAGUGCUGUGUCUGGCUGUGUCUGCUGCAACAUUGAUCAACACAGCAACAUUGACCAGUCUGAGGGGUGCUGUGCCUGGCUGUGUCUGCUGCAACAUUGAUCAACACAGCAACAUUGACCAGUCUGAGGGUUGGAGACAACCACACUAGCAAAUGAUCUGACCCAUAACAGUUAGUGUUAUAUGGAGAUGCAGCAGUUGGAGGCGUCGUUAGAGGUGGGCAGGGCCCACUUGUAAGGUAUUUCCAGGUGUGGUAACUGAGGAGUGCUGUGCCUGCUGCAACAUUGAUCAACACAGCAAAAUGGACCAGUAAGGAGUGCUGUGCCAGUCUGCUGCAACAUUAACCAGUCUGAGGGGUGAAGACAACCACUAGUAAAUGGUCUGUUAUAUGGAGAUGCAGCAGUUAGAGACGUCGUUAGAGGUUGUGGGUAGCUGCAAGUGUUCAGAGAUGUCAUCACCAGCAGCAACACACCAAAACAAUGUCUGCGAAGAUAAAAGAUGGACAUUAGUGGAUUAUUCACGAACUGCAGAAAGUGUCACGCUUUCGGCAUCAAUCUACAUGGUGGCAGUUGACCAAGAGGACACAUGCUUUACUCUGACAGGAAACCACAUGGCUGUGUCUGAAUCACGUGGCGGGGCUUCACUGUUCAUGUCUACAGAAAUAUCUGUAAAAUGUGAUUGUGGUGAUUCAUCACCUUUACUAUCUUGAUUUGCAAUCUGCAGAAACGAGUAGAUGGAACCCUGGACCACCCAACGGAGAAGGGCAGGUUGAGCUGGAGCUGGAGGUAUCAAGAUUCCCUAGUGUGUGUGUGUUUUAGUGGCAGUCACAUCAAGUGUCAUGCCUAGGUGUGGUAACUGAGGAGUGCUGUGUCUGGUGCAACAUUGAUCAACACUGCAACUUUGACCAGUCUGAGGAGUGCUGUGCCUGGCUGUGUCUGGUGCAACAUUGAUCAACACAGCAACUUUGACCAGUCUGAGGAGUGCUGUGCCUGGCUGUGUCUGCUGCAACAUUGAUCAACACAGCAACAUUGACCAGUCUGAGGGGUGGAGACAACCACACUAGUAAAUGAUCUGACCCAUAACAUUUAGUGUUAUAUGGAGAUGAAGCAGUUGGAGACGUCGUUAGAGGUGGGCAGGGCCCACUUGUAAGAGCUGUGUAUCCGAGUGCCUGAGGUCACGUGGAUCACGAAGCCAUGUGGGGUGUGGACGAAGUCACGCGGGUUACCCAAGCCACAUGCCUCCCCUGACGUCAUCUCGCGAUGACAUCCCUCAUGACGUCACCAUGCUGCCUGACAUCACGUCACAUGGAGUGUUAUAGUUUCACAGUGAGCAAAUUAUUUCAGUAUUGCCGAAAAGAUUGAGAGACAAUACUUGUCAUGUGUUAAUUCCUCUGUGUUCUCACGUUUUCGUGUAUGGCUUAGUGUCGAUUUUUGCACAGAAAAGCGUCAUUUGCUCAAGCCAUGUUGUACCUCGUGUGUAGUGCAGGUGUGUCUCCCUGAUUAAGUGGUUUGUGGCCAGCUGUGUGUGUAGGCCACAGCACUGUGUAGCAUAUCGUGUUACUUGUCACCCA